AGAGUUUGAUCCUGGCUCAGGCAUGNACGCUAGCGGCAGGCUUAAUACAUGCAAGUCGAACGGUAACAGGUCUUCGGAUGCUGACGAGUGGCGCACGGGUGAGUAACGCGUACAAAACCUACCUUUUACUGGGGGAAAGUCGCUGGAAACGGCGAAUAAUCCCGCAUAAAACUGCAAGAUCGCAUGAGAAAGUAGUUAAAGGCUUCGGUCGGUAAUAGAUGGUUGUGCGUCCCAUUAGCUAGAUGGUAAGGUAACGGCUUACCAUGGCGACGAUGGGUAGGGGGCGUGAGAGCGUGAUCCCCCACACGGGUACUGAGACACGGACCCGACUCCUACGGGAGGCAGCAGUAAGGAAUAUUGGUCAAUGGAGGCAACUCUGAACCAGCCAUGCCGCGUGUGUGAUGAAUGCCCUUUGGGUUGUAAAGCACUUUUAUCUGGGAAGAAUGACAGGGAUUUAUCCUUGGAGAGACGGUACCAGAAGAAUAAGCACCGGCUAACUCCGUGCCAGCAGCCGCGGUAAUACGGAGGGUGCAAGCGUUAUCCGGAAUCACUGGGUUUAAAGGGUACGUAGGCGGUUUUAUAAGUCAGACGUCAAAGGCUGUGGCUAAACCAUGGUACGCGUUUGAAACUGUAAGACUUGAAUAUGUUCGAGGUGCAUGGAAUGUUUCAUGUAGCGGUGAAAUGCAUAGAUAUGAAAUAGAACACCAAUUGCGAAGGCAGUGCACUAGGGCAUAAUUGACGCUGAUGUACGAAAGCGUGGGUAGCGAACAGGAUUAGAUACCCUGGUAGUCCACGCCCUAAACGAUGCUAACUGGUCAUUUAGCGGAAUAGUUAAGUGACUGAGGGAAACCAUUAAGUUAGCCACCUGGGGAGUACGUUCGCANGAAUGAAACUCNAAAGGAAUUGACGGGGGU
rnacentral:rRNA from 1 species